rnacentral:lncRNA from 1 species
AUGGACUCCCACCUCCCGGCCCUCCCGGCCUCACAGGACCUCUCAGGGCAUCCACUCACCACGGGGCUCUUAGGACUCGGGUGCGGUGGGGAGGAGACGCCAUUGAGGGUUCCGGGCUCUGCAGGGCGUGGCUCUGUGAUGUGGGAACACCGGGUAGGUCACAGAAGAUGCCAGCUGCCUCUAGAUUCAGAGAACCCGACCCCUCCUCCCUCGGACCCAGGAGUCCGGAUUCAGGCUCCUCACCGGCGGGACCUUCUUCCCCCUCAUCCUCGUCCUGGAUGGGGGGCCCCCCAGCCCCACCAGGCCGGCGCUCCUUGGACAAGUCCUGGAGGGAAAUCUUCUCUCGACUGCUCAGACGACACACAGAGCUCCUGUUGGGGAAGGAGAGGGUGCUGGGGUGCAAGCCCGGGGCCUCCAGCCACCCGCCAGCCCCAGACUCCUCCCUCCCUAUACCUUCUGUGUCUGCUGCUACAGGGCGCUUGGGGCUCCUGGCCCCGGCUCUGGGAAGCUUCUUUUUGGUUCCGAAGCUGCAAGGAGGGAAGGAGGCUGCAGGGGAGGGGUGGAGCACACGUCCCCCACAGCAAUACCACCAUGAACAGCUGUCAGGAGCUCGGUGCCCAGGCGGGCACCGUGGGCUCGUGGAAGCGCUUGCUGGUUCUCCUACAGAUGGCGGCACACCUCAGAGAGAGGAGGCGCCCUGUGUCCAGCAGGUGCCUGCGGCUGCCACGUGCAGGCACUGCCGUCUUGUCCUCACGGCCCCCACCCAUGAGAAGCCUCCAGUCUCAUCCCCAGAGGGGUCCUUCUAGCUCCCAGGGGCGACCUGCUCAGACCUCAUCCCAACCCCUCAGCACACCCAGGGCACUGGUGGGCCCUCAGCUGCCCCGGCUUCUGCCGCUGGCACUCGCCUCCUCCUUCCCCACACAGUUCACCACCGUCUUCACACCUGCCCCACACAGUUCAACACCGUCUUCACACCUUCCCCACACAGUUCACCACUGUCUUUACACCUUCCCCACACAGUUCACCACUGUCUUCACACCUUCGGGCCUCUGCAUGUGGUGCCCAGGAGUACUGGGAGGGCCCUUCAUUCCUGCCCUUCUAGCAAACUCUUAGUGCUGUAGUACUCACGUCUUCUAGAAACUGUCCCCAGAUGCUCCCAGGCUGGGCUCCCCUCAUAUCUGGGCCACCUAAGCUGAUCCUGCCCCACCCAUUAAACCCCCCUUGGCCGUAUCACCCUCAGGGCAAAAGUCACCCUGCUCCUCGCCUGGCACUCAUGGUCCUCCCGGGUUUGCCCUGCCUUACACUCCCCUUCCUGGGCACCUCAGGGCACCCACACUUGCCCCCCAGACUGUGUGAGACCUUCUCCUACAUCUGUCAGCCUCCACCUUGCUCCUGCCAACCUUUCAAAAGAGGAAGCUGUCUCCACUCUGCUGCCCACGCACCAGGAGCCCUAGGCCUGGCCUUGGGAGCUUCCUGUCACCCCACAGAGCCCACUGAACGCUGGCGUGGCUCUAGUACUUCCCGUGGCACGUACUCCUGAGCUCCUGACAGCACAAUCCACAUGUCACGCACGACCCCUCAUACAGAUGCGCACCAUACCAUUCCCAUUUGACAGAUGAGGAAACUGAGGCCUGGAGAGGAAAGUGGCUGGGUGGGACUCACGGCAGAUCCAUGGCAGAGCCAGGAUUCCAACCCAGGCAGUCUGGCCAGGGCUCACGCCCUUCACUCCUUCACUCUAAGUUUUCUCAGCAAGGCUGCCCUGGGGAUGGCUGGGGGACACCUUGCGGGUGACCAGCCCAGCCUAAGUCUAGGACAGUCUUGCACAUGGCUGCUGCCAAGGGCCACCCUGAGGUGAUGAGGUGCGCUGAGCUGGUUUGUUAUUUUGUCUGAGUGUCAGACAACCCUGUCCAGAUCCUUCUGCUGCCUCCCCACCAGGCAGGUAGGAAGCUCUGCAGCCCCAUCUCUAUCCUGCCCCGGCUGGGGGUCUCUCCUGAGGCUGGGGCUGGAGCUGGGAAAGAGCAGGUCGCUGGGGUGGUGGGUGUCAGAAGUCGGGGUGGGGUACCCCCUCUGCACCCUCCUCUAAGGAGUUGAGGGGACAUGGGGAGUCUGGGACAAGCCCCUCAGCCCUAACACUCACGUCUUCCUGUUUCCGGGCCAGUUCCUCCAACAGGCUCAGCACUUCCUCAUCAGCCAGGUCGCAGGGCCGCUGCCCCUGGGUCGGGGGAGGAGCAGGAGCAGACAAUGAAGGAGGCGCUGGGUCCUCCCCACGCCCUGCCCCCACCAGCCUGGGC